ensembl:lncRNA
CCUCUGAACACCAUCGUUGGCCUGACAGCAUCGUGGGUUACAGUCAGAUUCAGCGUUGGACGAUCCAGGAGCACGGAUCAUGACCCGGCUUCAGUCUCAGAAGGAGGAUUCACUCUGAUCUCACCUGAGGACUGACGUCACAGACUUUGGUCCUGUGCUUACGUCAUAAUGAAGUCCGGUUUUCAUUCAUCCUGAGGCGAAACAGAUUUAGAUGUAAAUGAAUACACUGUGGAAGUUUCUUUGCUGCUCUGAGCUUGUUGCAGCGACAGUGAAGGCUCCUCCCCCUCCUCAGGGGGAGGGGCUAUCAGAGGAGACUUGAUAUUGAGGAAGAGCUCAGAUAUCAGCUGAGCGUUAACACACACACACACGGACCGAGAACAGCAGCUCCUGACCCCGCGCAUCUAAAGGAUGGUGUGACUGAUCAUCAGCGCCUGCCGGUACGUGGCGAGGAAGAUCCGGGCUGCGGCGCGAGGAGAGGAGCAGCCGGAGAAGCCGAGCACCGCGGGAUGCAAGCAGGCUAAAUCUCGCAAGGGUGACAGGAUGAGCAGCGAACCCGCCCUGAUGACCCCGCCCACAGAGCAGGACGUCGACGUGCUGCCGAAGGAGAACUGCGGGUCCUGAAAGUAAGCCGAGAGCUGGAGGGCAGGGAGGUCCAAAAAGCAUCCCAAUCAGACGCCGUCCCAAACUGGCUCUGACCUCGACCUCUUUCUGCUUCCGGCUCUCGGCGCUCUUUCGGCUCCUCCUUCCUCACGUCUCAGAGCGUCAGCAGAGAGGAUGAAAGGCUGCUCACCAAUUCCCCGCUCGAGGACCUGAGCAGCCCUGAUGACCGUGCCGGUCUCUGCUGACGACGCUCUCACGCCAACCUCGCUUCUUUUUGUUGUUGCUUUAAUAAAAACCGUUUUAAACCUGAGCCGAGUGUUUGUGUCCCAGUGAGACGCCGCACAAACAAACACCAGCUGUCACAGCGAACCUUCAUGAUGCAGCUAAUCUAGCUUCAUAAGCUUUAGAGCAGGGGUGGCAAACAUAAGGCCUGUGGGCCAGAAGCGUCCACCCAGAAGGUCCAACCACUGCCUAUUUCCAUCAGCUUUACAGCAAAGUCAGGAAGAAAAAGAUAAAUAUUACACUGAAAAAUUCAGUUAUUUAAUGUAAAGACAGAAAAGUCUCUUUUUGUUGUCUUUAUAAUAAAAC